rnacentral:rRNA from 1 species
CUAACGUCAUCAGUGAGGCGUUCCACUCCUCACCUUAUUCUUCGUCAAGAAAAAGGGCUUUACAACCUUGCGGCCUUCUUCGCCCACGCGGCGUCGCUCCGUCAGGGUUCCCCCCAUUGCGGAAGAUUCUUAG